rnacentral:rRNA from 1 species
CCUACGGGAGGCAGCAGUAGGGAAUAUUGCUCAAUGGGGGAAACCCUGAUGCAGCAACGCCGCGUGGAGGAAGAAGGUUUUCGGAUUGGAAACUCCUUUUUUUAGAGAAGAGAAUGACGGUAUCUAACGAAUAAGCACCGGCUAACUCCGUGCCAGCAGCCGCGGUCAUACGGAGGGUGCAAGCGUUAUUCGGAAUCACUGGGCGUAAAGGGGGCGUAGGCGGGAUAGCAAGUCAGAUGUGAAAGCCUAAGGCUUAACCCUAGAACUGCAUUUGAAACUGUUAGUCUAGAGUAUGGGAGCGGUAGGUGGAAUUCUUGGUGUAGGGGUGAAAUCCGUAGAGAUCAAGAGGAAUACUCAUUGCGAAGGCGGCCUGCUAGACCACAACUGACGCUGAUGCGCGAAAGCGUGGGGAGCAAACAGGAUUAGAUACCCCAGUAGUC